CGUUAGCCGUUUUACUAUAAUGGGAUGACUGAAUAACCGUGAAUUUCAUACACGCAAACAAUGCCAAAUGGCAUAAGUGCAAAUGGGCAUAACUGCACAAAAGAAUUCCAAACAUUGGCAUAAUUGCAAACUGCUAUAAGUGCAAACUGGCAUAUGUGUAAUUUGGCAUAAGUGGGCUAAAUAGAUUUACAAACAUUCGCAUAAGUGUGAAUUUCCAUAAGUGGGAACUGGUAUAAGUGUGAAGCAGUUGCAAAAACUCGCAAAAGUGCAAACAAGAUAAAUGCGAACUGGCAUAAGUGUGCCAAAUAAAUUUGCAAAAUUUAGCAAAAUUCCAAACUGCAAAUUUAUUACACGCACUUAUGUCAGUUCACACUUCUGCCUGUUUUUGUAACUGUUUUGUACUUAAUCAAAUUUUGCACUUAUGCCUAUGCGUAAUGUUUGCUAACCUGUUUGGCGCACUAAUGCCAAUUUACACUUUUUCCAGUUUGCAAGUUUAAAGCUAUAGGUUAUCCUAUAGCUUUAAACUUUAGAUUAAUGUUUUAUGACAAAUUCACUCAUGGCCAAAUCUAAUAUGGCAGCUGGAAAAGGCAAAGAAUCUUUUUAGCCUAACCAAGCUAUACAACUUAAUAAAAGUUUGUGCAUCGACUUCUCACGAAUUAUACACAGAGUCGAUUGUCGAUGCAAUAAUUGCUGAUUCGUGAAAGCGGGCAACUUUUGCUUGUCUUAAAGUGCCUUAAAUCCAACAGACCCAGUAAGCACAGGACGUUUUAAAAACGUUUUAAUUCGACGUUAAAAGAACCAAUACAAUCGUUAAAACGU